AAGACUAUGUCGUGGGCGCGGAGCCGACUGUGCUCGACUCUGUCCCUGGCAGCUGUUUCUGCGCGUGGUGCAACGACGGAGGGCGCGGCGCGGCGGGGGAUGAGCGCGUGGCCAGCGCCACAGGAGCCGGGCAUGGAGUAUCAGGAUGCUGUGCGCACGCUCAACACCCUGCAAACCAAUGCCAGCUACCUGGAGCAGGUAAAGCGCCAACGGAGUGACCCCCAGGCGCAGCUGGAGGCUAUGGAGAUGUACCUGGCACGGAGUGGACUGCAGGUGGAGGACUUGAACCGGCUAAACAUUAUUCAUGUCACUGGGACCAAAGGGAAGGGCUCCACCUGUGCCUUCACCGAACGGAUCCUGCGGAAUUACGGCCUGAAGACCGGCUUCUUUAGCUCUCCUCACAUGGUGCAGGUGCGGGAGCGGAUUCGAAUCAACGGGAAACCAAUCAGCCCCGAGCUCUUCACCAAGCACUUCUGGUGCCUCUAUAACCAGCUGGAGGAGUUCAAGGACGACAGCCAUGUCUCCAUGCCCUCUUACUUCCGCUUCCUCACACUCAUGGCCUUCCAUGUCUUCCUCCAAGAGAAGGUGGACCUGGCAGUGGUGGAGGUGGGCAUUGGCGGGGCUUUUGACUGCACCAACAUCAUCAGAAAGCCAGUGGUGUGUGGAGUCUCCUCUCUUGGCAUUGACCACACCAGUCUACUAGGAGAUACAGUGGAGAAAAUAGCAUGGCAGAAAGGGGGCAUCUUUAAGCCUGGUGUCCCUGCCUUCACUGUGGUGCAGCCAGAAGGUCCCCUGGCUGUGCUGAGGGAUCGAGCCCAGCAGAUUGGAUGCCCGUUGUACCUGUGUCCGCCAUUGGAAGCCCUGGAGGAGGUUGGACUGCCAUUGAGCCUGGGUCUGGAGGGAGCACACCAGCGGUCUAAUGCUGCCUUGGCCUUGCAGCUGGCCCACUGUUGGCUGGAGCGGCAGGACCACCAAGACAUCCAGGAGCUGAAGGUAUCCAGGCCAAGCAUACGGUGGCAGCUGCCCCUGGCACCUGUGUUCCGCCCUACCCCUCACAUGAGGCGUGGGCUUCGGGACACAGUGUGGCCUGGCCGGACACAGAUACUCCAGCGGGGACCCCUUACCUGGUACCUGGAUGGCGCCCAUACCACCAGCAGUGUGCAGGCCUGUGUGCACUGGUACCGCCAGUCAUUGGAGCGCAGCAAACGCACCGAUGGCAGUGAUGCCGCUACAUGGUACAGAUUUGAAAAUGUCCUAAAUGGUGUUUCUACGAUAAAGUCUAUACCCUGGCGCUGGAGAGAUGGCUGUUACAUCGCUGCUCUUACAGAGAACCCACAUGGGUUAGAUUCUGGGGAAAUGGCUGGAAUGGUGUAGGAGGAAGGGCAGAAGGCAUAUCCCACCCAUUUCUUCCUGAUGCAGAGGGUCCGAAGUACACAUCUUGCUCUUCAACUCUACUGGUGACAGGGACUCUGCUGCCCUGCUGAAGCUGCUGCAGCCCUGCCAGUUUGACUACGCUGUCUUCUGCCCCAACGUGACAGAGGUUUCAUCCAUAGGAAAUGCAGACCAGCAGAACUUCACUGUGACUCUGGACCAGGUGCUGCUCCGCUGCCUCCAACACCAGCAGCAUUGGAACGGCCUGGCUGAGAAACAGGCCAGCUCCAACCUCUGGAGCAGCUGCGGCCCAGACCCUGCUGGGCCAGGCUCCCUGCUGCUGGCCCCGCACCCACCUCAGCCUACUAGGACGAGCUCCCUCGUUUUCAGCUGCAUCUCCCACGCCUUGCUGUGGAUCAGCCAAGGCCGGGAUCCCAUCUUUCAGCCCCAGAGCCUUCCAAGGAAUCUUCUCAACCACCCCACAGCCAACAGCGGGGCCAGCAUUCUCCGUGAGGCUGCUGCCAUCCAUGUACUGGUUACAGGAAGCCUGCACCUGGUGGGCGGGGUUCUGAAACUGCUGGAUCCCUCUAUGUCCCAGUAGCCAAGGACCAUCCUACAUCGGUCUGCCUUUCCACAGACUCUUAUACUCAGUGCCUUGUGAUUUCUGCUCUCAGAUUUUUUCGGACUGGCCCAGGGUCCUGGGCUCUUGGUAGAGUGUAGGGAUGGGAGAGGCUCUCUGUACCUCGGCCUCUCCUUCCUCUGGCAGAGACAGCAGGGUGCUUCCCAGAGUCCCCACCAUCGUAGCAGGCUUUCAGCCUGGCCCAUCUCCCUGCUGCCUCCAGGCUCAGGUCCAGCUUACUGUUGCAGCUGCCUGAGCAGCCUGGAUCCUGCCUGAGGUUAGACCAGAGACCUCCUCCUCCCUCCCAAUGCUUUCUGGCAAAAGAGAGGGCCCUUGCCUGGCAUUUGGGGACUGUGUUGCUGGAACUAAUUGAAGCUUUUAAACCCUUUUAUUUUUUAUUUUUUGUAAAUAAAUGACAAAACUUUUGAUUGA